AUUGAACGCUAGCGGGAUGCCUUACACAUGCAAGUCGAACGGAGUGGCGAACGGGUGAGUAAUGUAUCGGAACGUGCCCAGUAGCGGGGGAUAACUACGCGAAAGCGUAGCUAAUACCGCAUACUCUUGGAGCGGCCGAGAUCGGAUUAGCGCGUGGGUGGGGUAACGGCUCAACAUGGCGACGAUCCGUAGCUGGUUGGAGAGGACGACCAGCCACACGGGAACUGAGACACGGCCCAGACUCCUACGGGAGGCAGCAGUGGGGAAUUUUUGACAAUGGGUGAAAUCCUGAUCCAGCCAUCCCGCGGGUGCGAUGAAGGCCUUCGGGUUGUAAAGCACUUUUAGCAGGGAAGCGGUACCUGCAGAAUAAACACCGGCUAACUACGUGCCAGCCGCCGCGGUAAUUC
rnacentral:rRNA from 1 species